UACGGAGGGAGCUAGCGUUAUUCGGAAUUACUGGGCGUAAAGCGCGCGCAGGCGGUCUUCCAAGUCAGUGGUGAAAGCCCGGAGCUCAACUCCGGAACUGCCAUUGAAACUGUAAGACUUGAGGAUGAGAGAGGUGAGUGGAAUUCCCAGUGUAGAGGUGAAAUUCGUAGAUAUUGGGAAGAACACCGGUGGCGAAGGCGGCUCACUGGCUCAUAUCUGACGCUCAGGCGCGACAGCGUGGGGAUCAAACAGG
rnacentral:rRNA from 1 species